rnacentral:rRNA from 1 species
UACGUAGGUGGCAAGCGUUGUCCGGAUUUACUGGGCGUAAAGAGCGCGCAGGCGGUCGAUCAAGUCGAGUGUGAAAGCCCCCGGCUCAACUGGGGAGGGUCAUUCGAUACUGAUCGACUCGAAGGCAGGAGAGGGUAGUGGAAUUCCCGGUGUAGUGGUGAAAUGCGUAGAUAUCGGGAGGAACACCAGUGGCGAAGGCGACUACCUGGCCUGUGCUUGACGCUGAGGCGCGAAAGCUAGGGGAGCAAACGGG